CUCCCGCCCCGCGCAGAGCCCCGCGCCGCCUCCUCCCCUCGGGGAGAAGGGAAAGAGCAGGCCAUGGCCCGGAAGGUGAGGGACAAGUAAGACUCAGCGACCUGCGUAGUGGUGGCCAUUAGCAUGAACUGUGCCCCGCCCGUGUGGGCCCAAGUCAUCUCCAUGCCCAGCAUGAGCCCACCAUGGGGCCGGAAUUCAUGACCCUGAGAUCAAGACUUAGCUGAGACUGAGAGUCAGACACUUAACCGACUGAGCCACCCAGGUGCCCCGAGUGGGAGCCUCUCUAAUUGGCUGGGACUUCUGACUCAAUUCUACUCAUCUUUGAUCAUUUAUUUGCUUUCUGAGAGACAGAGAGAGAGCAUGAGAAGGGAGAAGGUGAGAGGAAGAAGCAGACUCCUU